rfam:Otolemur garnettii contig127206, whole genome shotgun sequence.
AUACCCUGUAGUGAGGGUCUGUAGUCCCAGCUACUCAGGAUGCUGAGGCAGAAGGAUCGCUUGCAUCUCAGAGUUCUGGACUAUCAUGCACUAUGCUAAUCAGGUGUUCACACUAAGUUUGACAUGGUAACCUCUCAAGAACUGGGAACCAUUAGGUUACCUAAGGAGAAGUUAACUGGCCCAGAUCAGAAAUGGGGCAGAUCAAAACACCCAUGGUGAUCAGUAGUGGGAUUAUACCUAUGAAUAGCUAGCUACUGCACUCCAGCCUAGACAACAUAGUAAGACCUCAUCUCCU